GAAAGGUGUCUCAUUGCUGUCACUUCUUGGGAAGAAAUAAUUUUCAUGAACCAUCUCAGAGUGUAACAUGUGGUUGGAAUUACUAAGGCUGAUAAAAUGACUUCAAUGGUUACAAGGCAUUCAGCCACAUUUUUGCCUGAUUUCUCCUGCUGUGAGUCACCUGGUGUCUCCUGGCUCCAAGGCAAGACAGCAUGGCAGAAGACAUUGUGGAGGAAAAGCUGCUCCCCUUGUGGAGACCAGGACACAGAGACGGAAGGACAGAGCUGGACUGGAGAUACACACUUCCAGGCCAUGCCCCGAGGGGCCCACCUCUCCUGAGCAGGCCCCACCUCCUAACAGCAGUCUCAGUGUCCUGCGGUCUCAGAAGCAUCACCCACACUGACAGGAAAGAGCCGAAAAGAGACGGGAAAUAAGGAUAUAGCAAUUGUCUAGACAAGUAUCACAGAUGGGCAACAAGGGACAGCAGAAACUUCAAAUUCGGUGUGAGAUGUCCCCAAGGCGCAGGACAGCCACCUGGGAUGCAUGAAGUACCACAACUGAGGGUCCCUGAAAUUUGGCCAUUCUGGUCUUAUCCCUCGGGACAAUGCAACCUGCUGGGCUGAAGCGUUGGAGGACAUUCUGUUUCUAGGAGUGGUGGCACUGGAGUAGAGCAGGCUGUUCUGGCCGGCUCAUCUCAGGAUUUUCAGAAUACAGGACAGUUAUUCUUGAGAACUAUAGUAUUAGCAAGAUGGAGCACUGUCUUGGGCAUGUGUAUGGGUCACUCCCCUGGCUUCUGCUCAACAUAGGUGAGAUUCCACUGCCUCAGCAUUUUAAAGUACUUCUGUCAACUUUACACUUGAAUUUAUCUUGUGGAACCUAAAUAUCAUAGUGAUUUGACAAAUACUAUCAUCCUUUACAGGUGUAUACACAAAUGAAUCUUUCCUAAACAUUGGUAAAAUUUCAAUUUUGCUUUAUCCUUGACUUGAAUUUCCAUUCCACUUCUCCCAUAGAAUUUUACU